AAAAAACUGUAACAAGACUUUUGUUGUAAGAAAAAUCUGCAACUUAAUCUAUGUUGUAAAAUUUUCUGAAACAUGACCUGUGUUCCAGAAAAAUUCUAAAACACGACAUAUGUUGCAAUGGUACAGGGUGACGGUGGACCACUCGAGAUCUGAUGGCUUGCGAGGUGGCGGAUCUUUUCCGCCGGCUGACGCGUAGCAGCGCCCAAUCGCAAAACCAUUGCCUCUUUGCCAAUAGAGAAAUAUAGGGUGUUCAAGAGAAUAUAUAGAGAAAUAUAUAGUCUUUUCUGUCAAUAACAGAAAAAUUGUAGACCGAAAUGUAAAUAUUCCAAAGGGAUAGACUACCCAAUCCCCGCUUCCUCCAAGCCGCAUGGCCUAUCGCCGGAGAAAUCCGUGCCGCACAGUCAACGCCACUGCCGUCGCCGUCGACGGGCGGCCAACAGCCAGCCCGGCCAUGCCGUCGGGUCAUGCAACCGCACGUUGCCAAUGCCGCGCCGCCGCAUAGCCACGCGCUACCGCCGCCGCACCGCGCCGGGCAGAACCUCCGCUGCGCCACGGGCCGCCAUGCGACCGGGAGAAGCACGCCAGGAGGUUUGGCUUCCGCCUCGCCUUGCGCGUGGACCGGGCUGCACACUGAUCACAAGGCCUCGGCCGUGCGCCCGUCGCCUUCGCUGACGCGACGCGGUCGUUGCCGCCCGCUCCGAUGGCCGACCAUGCCGCCGAGCAGCCGUGCUGCGCUGUUGUUGUGGCGUGUGAGGGCGCUCCCGUGCGUUCAGAGAGGCCGCCGCUUGGAGCCGCCUCCCCGAGAAGUCGCCGAAGACGACCGUGGCUCUGUGCCUGAAGUACAGAGUAUAUAUACCUCUCGCCGUCACAACAAUUCAGUCACUAGAAGUGGACUCAUCAUGGCAAAGCAGAGCAGCGCAGUACGGAGUAUAUAUACCUCUCACUGUCACAACAAUUCAGUCACUGAAGUGGUCUCAAUCAUGGCAAAGCAGACCAGUGCAUUACAGAGUAUAUAUACCUCUCACAGUUCAGUCACUAGAAGUGGACUCAUCAUGGCAAAGCAGAGCAGUGCAGUACAGAGUAUAUAUACCUCUCGCCAUCACAACAGUUCAGUCACUAGAAAUGGACUCAGCAUGGCAAAGCAGAGCAAUGCAGUACAGAGUAUAUAUACCUCUUGCCGUUACAACCAGAUAACGGUGGCCAGGUGCGCCUCCCUGACCCGGAUUAUAUGGGUGCCAUUGGAGGAGCUCGUGGUGUGUGUCAUCGGGUCACAGAUGAUCGAUCAAUGCUGCUGCUGCUGCUGCUGUUGCUGUUGCUGUUGCUGGUACACAUAGCUAUGGUGGAACUAUAUUUAUAGGGUCCCGGGUGAGAAUCUGGACGGAAGAGGGCAAAACAGGCGAGGAGUGUAUGUUAUUCCAUUUUGGUGUCCAGAACAUCGAACGGUGGUGCUCUCAUAUGAUGGACUCCUGACUUCAUCAAAACGUGAGUUGUUUGCUCGGUCACAUGGUCUUUGAGAAGAAAGAGGGAGUACUAAACUACAGCCUUCCAUGGCGUCUGGGCACUGCGAUCCUAGGGCGGAGCCACUGCUUGACAUAAUCCAUCUCACGGCAUUUCAACAACUAAACCAUAUGCAAUUGUUGUUGAGCAAUGUGGCGAUUACUGAUCAGAGACACCUGGACUUACAGUUGGAACUCAAAAGAUUUUACUGCUAUUAACAUGUACAAGUUUUUAUAGCAGGACAAUGCUGCUUCCCUGCCUUCUUGAAAAUCUGGAGAUGUGUGGCAAUGCCAAGAUAUAGAAUAUUUUUUUGGCUGCUCUUGCAUGACAGAAUCAACACCAGAUGCCUCCUCCAUAGAAAAGUUUUUUACAUGUCUUCUCAGAAUUGUGCCAUUUGUACUCUAAAUGCUGAUGAGACUAUUUUCGGAUUGUCUGUUUGCUUAUGUUUGUUGGGCAUCCCUUGGCCUACACAAGUUUAGGGGUAUCUCAGUCUUGGAUGAGAUUCUCUUGAACACUAAUGCUCUUCCCAGGAAUUUUGGUCUAAUAAUAAUCAUUAUUUGAUGCUGGCA